rnacentral:misc_RNA from 1 species
GUUUUCUUGAAGCUUAAUAUGAAAUUAACUCAUCAACAAUCAAUACCAGCUGCAUGAUUCACAAAUCUUCAAGAGUCCAACCAUAACUCCGAGGAGUAGCAGAGAGCAUUGAAGUCAGCAACGCAGAAGCAGUGGCAGUGUGAUAAGGAAGCAUAGUUUCCACUGCACAACUCAUUUCAACAGGCGACCUGAAAAUGCGAGCAGCGAGGGGUUUUUGAGUGGGCAUGCGAAAGGGAGAAGGAGCGGCCUUGGGUUUGGCACCGGCGGCAAAUCUCGUGGCGGCGGUUCUGGCGGAGGAAGUGGCAGAGCGAAGGACGGACCUGGCGGCGAAAGUGGCCAUUUUCGGAUCGGCGAAAGCUCUGAGAGAG